UACGGAGGGUGCAAACGUUGCUCGGAAUCAUUGGGCGUAAAGCGCACGUAGGCGGCUCGUUAAGUCGGAUGUGAAAGCCCUCGGCUCAACCGAGGAAGUGCAUACGAAACUGGCGAGCUUGAAUAUGGAAGAGGGUCGCGGAAUUCCCGGUGUAGAGGUGAAAUUCGUAGAUAUCGGGAGGAACACCAGUGGCGAAGGCGGCUCUCUGGGCAGAUACCGACGCUGAGACGCGAAAGCGUGGGAAGCAAACAGG
rnacentral:rRNA from 1 species